rnacentral:rRNA from 1 species
GAUUGAACGCUGGCGGCAUUUCUAACACAUGCAAGUCGAACGGGAGUAGCAAUACUCUAGUGGCGGACGGGUGAGGAAUACGUAGGAAUUUGCCCUUAAGUGGGGGAUAACCCGGGGAAACCCGGAUUAAUACCGCAUGAUCUCGAAAGAGCAAAGUGGGGGAUCGCAAGACCUCACGCUUUUGGAGAAGCCUACGUCGGAUUAGCUAGUUGGUGAGGUAAUGGCUCACCAAGGCGACGAUCCGUAACUGGUCUGAGAGGAUGAUCAGUCACACCGGAACUGAGACACGGUCCGGACUCCUACGGGAGGCAGCAGUGGGGAAUAUUGGACAAUGGGCGCAAGCCUGAUCCAGCAAUGCCGCGUGUGUGAAGAAGGCCUUCGGGUUGUAAAGCACUUUAAGUUGGGAAGAAAAAACUCGCUCUAACACAGUGAGUCUUGACGGUACCGACAGAAUAAGCA